GAAAGCGUGGGGAGCGAACAGGAUUAGAUACCCUGGUAGUCCAGACCGUAAACGGUGGGCACUAGUUGUGGGAACCUUCCACGGUUUCUGCGACGCAGCUAACGCAUUAAGUGCCCCGCCUGGGGAGUACGAUCGCAAGAUUAAAACUCAAGGGAAUUGACGGGGCCCCGCACAAGCAGCGGAGCAUGCGGCUUAAUUCGACGCAACGCGAAGAACCUUACCAAGGCUUGACAUAUAGGGAAAAGUGGCAGAGAUGUCAUGUCCGCAAGGGCUCUAUACAGGUGGUGCAUGGUUGUCGUCAGCUCGUGUCGUGAGAUGCUGGGUUAAGUCCCGCAACGAGCGCAACCCUCGUUCUGUGUUGCCAGCAUUUAGUUGGGGACUCACAGGAGACUGCCGGGGUUAACUCGGAGGAAGGUGGGGAUGACGUCAAAUCAUCAUGCCCCUUAUGUCUUGGGCUGCACGCAUGCUACAAUGGCCGGUACAGAGGGCUGCAAUACCGUAAGGUGGAGCGAAUCCCAAAAAGCCGGUCUCAGUUCGGAUUGAGGUCUGCAACUCGACCUCAUGAAGUUGGAGUUGCUAGUAAUCGUAGAUCAGCAACGCUAC
rnacentral:rRNA from 1 species